rnacentral:rRNA from 1 species
AGUCGAGCGGUUGAGGUAGCUUGCUACCGAUGCAGCGGCGAACGGGUGAGUAAUACAUGGGAAUCUGCCUGGUAGUGGGGGUCAACGUUUCGAAAGGAACGCUAAUACCGCAUACGCCCUACGGGGGAAAGGGGGGGAUCGCAAGACCUCCCGCUAUCAGAUGAGCCCAUGUCAGAUUAGCUUGUUGGUGAGGUAAAGGCUCACCAAGGCGACGAUCUGUAACUGGUCUGAGAGGAUGAUCAGUCACACUGGAACUGAGACACGGUCCAGACUCCUACGGGAGGCAGCAGUGGGGAAUAUUGGACAAUGGGCGCAAGCCUGAUCCAGCCAUGCCGCGUGUGUGAAGAAGGCCUUAGGGUUGUAAAGCACUUUCAGUGGGGAGAAAGGUGAUUCACCUAAUACGUGAGUUAAUUGAUGUUACCCACAGAAGAAGCACCGGCUAACUCCGUGCCAGCAGCCGCGGUAAUACGGAGGGUGCAAGCGUUAAUCGGAAUUACUGGGCGUAAAGCGUACGUACGUGGUUUGUUAAGCCAGCUGUGAAAUCCCCGGGCUCAACCUGGGCACUGCAGUUGGAACUGGCAAGCUAGAGUAGGGUAGAGGGGUGUGGAAUUCCAGGUGUAGCGGUGAAAUGCGUAGAUAUCUGGAGGAACAUCAGUGGCGAAGGCGACACCCUGGACUCAUACUGACACUGAGGUACGAAAGCGUGGGGAGCAAA